CCCUUAGAUGUCCUGGGCUGCACGCGCGCUACACUGAUGUGUCCAGUAAGCACCUAACCUAUUCCGAGAGGAGCGGGUAACCUUAGCAAAGCACAUCGUGAUGGGGAUAGAUUAUUGCAAUUAUUAGUCUUGAACGAGGAAUUCCUAGUAAACGCAAGUCAUCAACUUGCAUUGAUUACGUCCCUGCCCUUUGUACACACCGCCCGUCGCUCCUACCGAUUGAGUGGUCCGGUGAGGCUUUGGGAUCUGAGCGGAAAGAGCGUUUCGCUGUUUCUGCUCGGAAAACUCAGUCGAACCUUAUCAUUUAGAGGAAGGAGAAGUCGUAACA
rnacentral:rRNA from 1 species